rnacentral:rRNA from 1 species
GACAGCAGUCGCCGCGGUAAUACAGAGGGUGCGAGCGUUAAUCGGAUUUACUGGGCGUAAAGCGUGCGUAGGCGGCUUCUUAAGUCGGAUGUGAAAUCCCUGAGCUUAACUUAGGAAUUGCAUUCGAUACUGGGAAGCUAGAGUAUGGGAGAGGAUGGUAGAAUUCCAGGUGUAGCGGUGAAAUGCGUAGAGAUCUGGAGGAAUACCGAUGGCGAAGGCAGCCAUCUGGCCUAAUACUGACGCUGAGGUACGAAAGCAUGGGGAGCAAACAGGAUUAGAUACCCGGGUAGUCCCUGUCUCUUAUAC